UUUGGGCCCAUGGAAGAGACCGUAAUCAGCAGUUUCUUCGGUAUCACAACAAAAUAUCCACGACACGUUAUUUGGGACGAAAACGUUUGGUUAAAAGACGGAAAACAAUAAGUAUAGACAACUUCAAUAAUUUAUAUAAGCAAAAUAUUGGUGACAGAAAAGUAUUAGCAGAUAUAUUGGCAAAUAAACGAAAAAAAAAAAGUUGUAUUCCACGAUUGAAACAAUUCUCUUUCUAAAACUUCUUUUAUCUUAAUGAAAGUACUAUAAUUUGGUAAAAGUGAUCCACGUUACAACUGAGCACUAUAUUCUGGAGAAGUAUCUUCUAGAGUGGUCAGGUUAGGAGUGACGAUGCUCUGGGUGUUCCAGGCGUAUAUAUUAUUUGUCGAAAAUGCUGAUCUUCUGUCCUGCACUACGUUUAGGCAGCUGCAUGCAAUUAGUGGAAAAAAUGCAUUUAUGAAGUUUAUUUAAGAAAUUGUAGAUUGGAGAAUUCGGAUUAGGAUAUUCAUUCGGGAAAUUGUAGAUAGAGGCUAAGAACCUCUUAAGUGUUCCCUUUUUUAACAUAUGUAAGAACUAAGGUACUGAGGUUGCUAGAUAAUGAAGGUUAUUUGCUAAGAAUCGGUACGUUUUCAUACUUAGUUGCAAUACCGUUGAUUACUUUUUUUUUAUUAAGCAUUUUUAAACCUGGUGGGUUUAAUUUGCAUACAAAUGGUAGGAUACAAGGCGGUUACCUUAAUCUUAAAUUCUUAUCGAACAUUUUUCUAGAAAUUCACUAAUGAUCACAAUGGAUUGUUUCUCUAGUCUGGCCAAAAAUUAUCCAGAAUAGUACGGUGGAAGAGUCACUGGCGCGAGUUGGGAUCAUGAGCUCGCCAAGCUGUAAAUGUGAACACGAGGAGAAGAAUAUCGAACACGUCAUGUGGGAGUGUUCAUUGUAUAAUGGGGCUAGACAGAUAAUGAUUAAAAAAUUAUGCGACCGUUGAUUACUUGUAUGAAAUAGUUGAGGCUAUAUCAAACAAUAAUGCAUAGAAAUUUUAUUGAAUCUGAAGCCAGCAAACAGAAUAUCCACAAUUUGUCGUCAACCAAUUACCAAUGUUCCUGGCAAUUAUGAGAUGUGAUUAUGCGAAAACGAAACGCUUAAAUCGUUGGUGAUGUAAUAUUGAAAGAGAAGUGUACAAUCCAAGGAGAAGAAUCCGCACGCUGUGAAUUCAACUUUCUUGUGUAUUUGUUCGACCGCGAAAUUGUUCAACUGUAAUAUAAAAAAUGACAAGAUCACUUAAUUCUAGUAGUACUUGGGGAAAAGGAUUCUGUACCUGAUAUUCUAUUUCCCCGUUGGGUGCAUACAUUUCCAUAACAUCGUAAAUAAUAUCAGCUGUUUUGUGCAUCUACGAUAAUUCCACCGGUUAGCAAAUUUGUUAAAGUUUUUGGGGAGGCAAUAUAUAGAAUAUAUUCUGUAGAAUACAUAGAAUAUAUACAGAAUAGAUUCUAUAGAAUAUAUAGAAUAUAUACAGAAUAUAUUCUGUAGAGUACAUAGAACAUAUUCUAUACAAUGAAUACAGAAUAAUUUCUAUAUUUGAAACACAAUAAAUUUUAUAAAUUAAGCAUACCUCUUUAUUAAAUAUCCUCACACUCCUACUUAAUCUGAUAGUAGGAUAAAUGCACAGGAAAAACCAGAAUAUAACAUUAAGAUAAAAAGCAUUCACCGUCAUUCCCUUUUCUUGUACAAUGCUGAUAAUAAAAAAGUAAAAAGUAGUAAUGCUCGCACAAAAACUAUGCACCACUGUCAAUAAAGUUGGAAAUGAAUAAAAAUCGGCGACGAGACAAGAAAUUUUGUACAGUUUAUUCCGCAAUUUUUUAAACAUUGUAAAAUUAUGAUUAACCAAACGAUUGUUUGCCGCAAUCCUGACAAGAUGAACACUCUCGAUAUUUGAAAUUGGACAUUUAAAAAUCGAUGGAAGAAGUUCAUUCAGAUUCUUUAAUCUUCGUCUUAAACUGUCGACAACGGAGCCAUAUUGCAUAACAACUGAUGUCAUAAUUAGAACAGAAAAUAUAUUUGCAAUACUCGUUCGUGAUUGUUGAAUGUACGUUGAGGUAGUGAUAGCUCCACACCACAAGAAUGAAAUUAAGAAAAUUGGUAACCAAGUGUCGAUGUUUGUAAAUCGAUUUGUCUUCUCAUUGUCAAAUGUAUUGCCAAAUUCACUCGUAAAUAUUUCAUCAAAUUUGCUGAGCUGUUUUGAGAUAUCAACACUGUGUUGUUGAUAGUGAGUGUAAUAAACAAUCAAAAUUAUUGAAAAUAUAUUUCCAAGUGUUGUCACUGUGGCUACAAUCAUCGUGAGAACUGAGUCAUUAGGAUAUUGAUAAUCGAUCAAAUAUGGUCUGACAAUGACAGUUAUUCCGACAAAUAUGAGGGCCAAUAAAAUAUUGUAUGCACAUCCCAGUCUGGAGUAUAUGAUUCUGAAGCUGACUCCCGACUUUUUUGACAAUCGAGGCAAAAUCUCGACGCUGUAGGGGGCUAGGCCCAGUAUGAAGGAAAUCAUAUGGGUGAAUUUGAAGAUUAGGAGACUUUUCUUCGAGUACAUUGUUGGAAAUGUAUAAAUGUAAAUCACACUGAGGAAUUUACUAACGUGAAUAAUUUCUCGAUGCGCAGAACUGACUCGAUGUGACCUGAAUCGAUCAACAGGAUUGAAGUAGAAAUGCAAUGGUGACAAUGAAAGCUGAUAAGGACAAAGACGUUGGGGCGUGGGCAGAAGUAUCGAUAUGUGACUGCCCGAUUAAUGGGUCUGUAAUCGAUAUUUUUUGGGCCGAUGUGUCGAACAUAUAUAUUGAUAAUUAACCCAUCCAUAUUCACACAUUAUGAUAUUUUCGUAUGUUGAACAUCAAAGUGUUCAGCAAAGUAUUUAAAAAAAUAAAGAACGAACAAAACAAAUUCCUUCAAAAAUCAUUUAUUUCCCUGAAAUUUUCCUAAUCCUUGAACAUAAGGAAUCCACAAUAUGUCUCAUCCCUAGACGUUAUGUCCUUCAUACAAAAAAAUAGGCAGGA